rnacentral:rRNA from 1 species
GACAGAGGGUGCAAACGUUGUUCGGAAUUACUGGGCGUAAAGCGAGUGUAGGCGGUCUGUUAAGUCGGGGGUGAAAGCUUGGGGCUUAACUCCGAAACUGCAUUUGAUACUGCGGUGCUUGAGGACUGGAGAGGAGACUGGAAUUUACGGUGUAGCAGUGAAAUGCGUAGAGAUCGUAAGGAAGACCAGUGGCGAAGGCGGGUCUCUGGACAGUUCCUGACACUGAGGCACGAAGGCCAGGGGAGCAAACGGG